AUACGUAGGUGGCAAGCGUUGUCCGGAAUUAUUGGGCGUAAAGCGCGCGCAGGUGGUUCCUUAAGUCUGAUGUGAAAGCCCCCGGCUCAACCGGGGAGGGUCAUUGGAAACUGGGGAACUUGAGUGCAGAAGAGGAUAGUGGAAUUCCAAGUGUAGCGGUGAAAUGCGUAGAGAUUUGGAGGAACACAAGUGGCGAAGGCGACUGUCGGGUCUGUAACUGACACUGAGGCGCGAAAGCGUGGGGAGCAAACAGGAUUAGAUCCCCUGGUAGUCCACGCCGUAAACGAUGAGUGCUAAGUGUUGGGGGGUUUCCGCCCCUCAGUGCUGCAGCUAACGCAUUAAGCACUCCGCCUGGGGAGUACGGUCGCAAGACUGAAACUCAAAGGAAUUGACGGGG
rnacentral:rRNA from 1 species